UCUGAAAACAGACACUGAUUUAUAAAUGUAGGGUUUUUUUUUUGUUUUUGUUUUUUUGCCAUUUUUCACCUUCAUGAAUUCCUCAACCCAAGUAGCCUAGGUUUAUGCAAACAGGUGCACCUCAUGUUUGAGGAACAUAAUUUUCGACUAUUCCAAACUAAUGACACUGUGAUUAGUUUAUUGGCAAGGCUACAUCCCUGCUGGAAAAUACGUCAACUGGUCUUUGGCCAGAAACAACUACUAUCAACCGUAUUUUUUUUUUAACAACUGGUCAACCAGCUAAUAACAACCUUACUCCAUCUAAUUGCUGGCAAAUAUCUACCGUGUUCAAACAUCUCAAGCAUAUUAAGCUGGAGUCUUCCACAGCAUGAGAGCGGAAAAAACAGAUGGGAAAGAUACAGCAUGCCCAUAUGAUCUAAUCUAAUCUGAAUCUUCAAGAUUCAAGAAGCUUCCAAACUUCCGAAGAGGCAAUCCUCAUUUACAAACUUCGAUCCAUCUGGUGUGGAGGGGGAAAGAGAGGUGAAGUGCCCUUUGACCUUUUAAAGGAUAGGGGAGCAGCUCCAUAUCUCAUGCUCCUCAGCCGAGCCUGUUUGAUCUGGACUCACCUCAGUUCACACGUCUCAGCUUCUGGCCCCAACCCACAAAGGGAGGAAUGUGUAGAGCUGGUAGAGAAGGAUUGCUUCGUUGGCCCAAAACAAUACUGAAAUGUAAGGUUUAUGGCAGCCACGUGAAGACAUACUAGACUUGAAAACAUACCUGAGGUCACCAGCAAAUACUAUGACAUGUGACAGGUAAGUCAUAUCUGAAUCAGACCACCUGAACAGCCCCCGAACAUGAAGGAGGAACAUCUGAGGGCACACUCUUGCCACUGUAAUUCACACUGCCUGUAGGGUGCAGGGUAUCUGUCAAGUUCAACUUUGUGAUGGAUGAGAUGGUGUCUUUGCCCCUUGGCCUUUAAGGGAUUAGGCUGCUCAGGUGUUGUUUUUAAAAGACUUAGAAUUAGCUUACAUUUAAACAUUUAAACUGUCCUUUGACACCACUUUCACCACCUGUUUCUGGAGAGAGAGAAAAAAAAAAGUCUGGGCUCCUUUGGAUUGAACCUUGAGUUUACGUUUAAUGUCUAAUGUCAUCAAAAGAAUGCAUCAGUCAUAAGUUAUCUCAGAAAAGCAGGGAUUUGGUUCUUUGAAUAUUAAUUACUGUAGAUAUAUUCAUGAGGCUUUUGCAGUGUUUCUGAGUGAACCUUUGCCAGUCAUUUGAUUAAGUGAAGCCUCGGUUGCAGCCGCAGGAGGAAAAACACUUUAUGUUAGAUGAAAAGAGAUGUUUAAGAAGCAGACCACGUAAGUGCAACUAGAAGAAGAAUAAUUGCAUACCUCAGGAAUUCCAUAAACGUGAUCUAUGAGAUAAUAUCAUGCUUCAUAGAGCUAAUUUGUUCAUUUGUAUUCUGUGGUGUUGCUGUGGUUGGCCUUCUACUUGAGCCAUUCUAUUUGAUUCAGAUCCUUAAAAGGUUCGAACCCUUAAAGGGAUAUUUCACUCAAAAAUGAAAAUUCUGUCAUCAUUUAUGCACCCUCGCGCCAUUCCACGCCCUAAAGACUUUUUCUUCAGAAGAACACAGAAUUAAUGUUUUUGUCCAUACAAUGAAAAUUUAGUGGAGCCUUAAACAACACUGAACAUUUUUCUAAAUAUCUUCUUUUGUUUUUCACAAAAGAGAAUCAGUACAUGUGAGUGGGUAAAUGAUAAGCGAUUGUAAUUUUUGAGUGAAGAAUUCCUAAGCAUUACAUAACUGCACACUUAAAAUUCAUAUAUUUUUAAAAUUCAUAUUAUACGGUUUGCAUUUUCAUGCAUCUUGCAGUUAUAUUUAGUGUUUCUGCUCUAAUUUCACUCUACCCUCAGAAUAUCUGCAUGAAGCCCACCUGCAUAGGAAUGACAAAAGGGACCACCAAGAUUAAAUGCACGGUUUCCAUGGAAACCAGUUGAAGGCUGACUGCACUGACUUUAAAUGCCUGCAUAGACAUUACAGACUGAGUCAGUGGACUAACAUUGCAUAGUCCUUUGCUCUAUAAGCAUUUUAUAGCUGUCAGGACAGGAAUUUUACUUUACACAGAUUGUUCAUCAAUCUUUGUAGAUGCUGGGAUGACCAAAAAUAUGUCAGGCUCCCUAACCAAAACCAUAAACUUAGGCUGCAAAACACUUGAGAAAAUAACAUUGUUGCAGGAGCCCCAAAUUACAUGUACAUAUUAUGCAUACCAAAUGGUUUCACAUCAGUUUGCAUUAAGGCAAAGUUGAUUUCUCAGUUAGGGUAGGAUCAUGAAAGUUAUGUGACUGUCAAACUUUAUGGCAGUCUUUAAUAAGUAAGCAGAUAAUUAUACUUGAAGCGUCCGUGCAACAACAUAUUUUAGCAAAUGCAUCUGCAAUGAUACCCAAGUCCUAGUAGUGGCUCAUAUUAGUUAUUGUGAUGCAUAUUCACUAUGGAAAGGCAAAUUAGAUUUAUCAAGCUUUCUACUUUACAACCACAGCUUUAAAAAUGGGUGCUGCCACAAAAGUGGUAACACAGCUGAUUUCCAAAAAUGUAUAUGUGUAGAAUGUAAAAAGUAGCCUCAGUGAGAAGGUUACAGUUAUACAUAUUUACAUUAUUUUUAUU